rnacentral:rRNA from 1 species
UGAGGAAUAUUGGUCAAUGGGCGUAAGCCUGAACCAGCCAAGUCGCGUGAGGGACGACGGCCCUACGGGUUGUAAACCUCUUUUGCCGGGGGACAAACGGCGGCACGCGUGCCGUCCUGAGGGUACCCGGAGAAAAAGCAUCGGCUAACUCCGUGCCAGCAGCCGCGGUAAUACGGAGGAUGCGAGCGUUAUCCGGAUUUAUUGGGUUUAAAGGGUGCGUAGGCGGGAUGCCAAGUCAGCGGUCAAAUACGGGGGCUCAACCUGCGUCCGCCGUUGAAACUGGCGUUCUUGAGUGGGCGAGAAGUACGCGGAAUGCGUGGUGUAGCGGUGAAAUGCAUAGAUAUCACGCAGAACCCCGAUUGCGAAGGCAGCGUACCGGCGCCCGACUGACGCUGAAGCACGAAAGCGUGGGUAUCGAACAGG